UAAAGGACUGAUAACAAGAUUCAUAUAACAGAAUUGAGAGCUACCUCUAACCAAUUCAUAACUUCACUCUAACAGAAUCCAACAAUGACCACAACAGAAAUCAUAACCGAAACUAACUUUGUGUUUUAACCUCUAACUGAUUUUCAUUUGAACCAACUAACAGGGUUAACAUUCCGUUAAUCGAUUCCAUCUAUAAAUGCAUCGUUCACCAAACUCGGAAGGGGUCGACGAUUUCAGUUCAACUAACUAGAAGAUUUCUCUCUCUCACCGAAAAAGACUCGAUUUUCAACAUGUUUCUAGAAGAAGGAAGGGCUUCGAGAAGAAGAAGAAGACAGUGAAGAAGAGUCGGAGCGCGAGGAGGGAGAUUACGUACCGUUUUCACCGUCGUCGUCACUCGAAUCAUAUUCUCCGGCAAAGUAACGAGAAAUGAGUUGAGUAGAAGCGAAUGCUUGGAGUCUAGUGUAGUCUCCUUAGUGGGUCAUGCUCUGAUAGAUGUAACAUCGGGAGGGAACCUUUUAAUUAUGUUGUUAAUGAUUGUUGAACCAGUUUACAUGUAGUAUGUUACAUGUUUUGAUUGAUUUGAUUUAUAUCCGCUGCGAUUUAUGCAAAUGUUUAAUUGAUUAAAUAAAUGAGCAUGACCAGCUACUUUGAUGAAUAUUGUGAAA